AGGGGAAUAUUGCACAAUGGGCGAAAGCCUGAUGCAGCGACGCCGCGUGAGGGAUGACGGCCUUCGGGUUGUAAACCUCUUUCAGCAGGGACGAAGCGCAAGUGACGGUACCUGCAGAAGAAGCACCGGCUAACGACGUGCCAGCAGCCGCGGUAAUACGUAGGGUGCAAGCGUUGUCCGGAAUGAAUGGGCGUAAAGAGUUCGUAGGCGGUUUGUCGCGUCGUUUGUGAAAACCAGCAGCUGAACUGCUGGCUUGCAGGCGAUACGGGCAGGCUUGAAUACUGCAGGGGAGACUGGAAUUGCUGGUGUAGCGGUGAAAUGCGCCGAUAUCAGAAUGAACACCGGUGGCGAAGUCGGGUCUCUGGGCUGUAACUGACGCUGAGGAACGAAAGCGUGGGUCGCGAACAGG
rnacentral:rRNA from 1 species